UACGUAGGGUGCAAGCGUUGUCCGGAAUUAUUGGGCGUAAAGAGCUCGUAGGCGGUCUGUCGCGUCGAAUGUGAAAACCUGGGGCUCAACUCCAGGCUUGCGGUCGAUACGGGCAGGCUCGAGUUCGGUAGGGGAGACUGGAAUUCCUGGUGUAGCGGUGAAAUGCGCAGAUAUCAGGAGGAACACCGGUGGCGAAGGCGGGUCUCUGGGCCGAUACUGACGCUGAGGAGCGAAAGCGUGGGGAGCGAACAGG
rnacentral:rRNA from 1 species